CUUCAUGAGGAAAAGGAAGUCUUGUUUGCAACGCAAAGAUUUCGUUCCAUGUGAUUGUAUAAACAUUGCAAACCAAGCUGUGGAAACGAUUCAAGCGUAGGUACGGCAGACGGCGCCUAUGUGUCAUGCAUUUGAUCUGAUUUCCCUUACCAGUAUGCAUCUACUGCCAAUACUCUCCCUAACGGCAUCGAAAUCACGCUCGCCUCUAACGCCCGUGUUGCUAAUCCAAUUUCCGGUUCCGCUGUCAUUGUAGGUGCCGGUGUACUGCCAGUUCCACAUCCGCACUGCUCUUCAUACAAUUUACUGCAUGCUGGUCAACUAUGCCGCCGGGGGAAGGUUUAGGGACUUGUGAUCUCCGCAGAGAUGCCCAAGUGGGACUGGACGGAAGAGCACAUGGGGUCGUCGCCUUAUGCACGUUAUGCAUGAAUGAUUAGUAACCUCUGCAGGGUACGCUGAAAUGGAUCAUGCACACACGGAGAACCUCGUCCGACACUACCAGCAGUGGCCUAGAGAUGACGUAUUGCUCGUAUGAGAAUUCAAUACUGCGAUCAAAAGUUGUGCAGCUCUUGUAACUUCUCUUGACACAUAUAGCCAUGGGUGUAUGUGCAUCUGCCUUACACGGAAACCGCAUUAAAGGGACACGUAGCUGUGUAGCUCGAACUUCGCAGCGAGGGCGCUUCUACUUUUUAACGCAGAACUUGUUUGUUUACUUAAGCCAACAGGCACUAUGUUGUAAGGUCUCUACUAGCAGAUAUCGGGGGCACCUUCGGAUGCUCACUGACAGAUUGAUGAUGCCGGAGUAUUUGGCACGGCCCCCGGGCAAGAUCUCCGCGAAUGGCCGCUGCGCUGCGCGGUCGUCCAGCAAUUAUCACAUUUAACGGGCUUCCACAUAAAAUGAGCAGCUGUAGCACCUUCCUUUCUCCUGCGCUCCGAGGGACCUGUUAUGGCCCUGGUCCGCCUGUCCUGAUGUACUUAACCCCCCUUCCAAGCUCCAUGCCAUUCAUAACCAUCCAUCCAUGCAAUACGUGGUUCGAGUGAAGCAAAACGCACAACGGGCGCAAUUAGCUCCAUGUAUAUACGCU
rnacentral:lncRNA from 1 species